AUGCAGUCGAGCGGAACGAGUUAUCUGAACCUUCGGGGAACGAUAACGGCGUCGAGCGGCGGACGGGUGAGUAAUGCCUAGGAAAUUGCCCUGAUGUGGGGGAUAACCAUUGGAAACGAUGGCUAAUACCGCAUGAUGCCUACGGGCCAAAGAGGGGGACCUUCGGGCCUCUCGCGUCAGGAUAUGCCUAGGUGGGAUUAGCUAGUUGGUGAGGUAAGGGCUCACCAAGGCGACGAUCCCUAGCUGGUCUGAGAGGAUGAUCAGCCACACUGGAACUGAGACACGGUCCAGACUCCUACGGGAGGCAGCAGUGGGGAAUAUUGCACAAUGGGCGCAAGCCUGAUGCAGCCAUGCCGCGUGUGUGAAGAAGGCCUUCGGGUUGUAAAGCACUUUCAGUCGUGAGGAAGGUAGUGUAGUUAAUAGCUGCAUUAUUUGACGUUAGCGACAGAAGAAGCACCGGCUAACUCCGUGCCAGCAGCCGCGGUAAUACGGAGGGUGCGAGCGUUAAUCGGAAUUACUGGGCGUAAAGCGCAUGCAGGUGGUUUGUUAAGUCAGAUGUGAAAGCCCGGGGCUCAACCUCGGAAUAGCAUUUGAAACUGGCAGACUAGAGUACUGUAGAGGGGGGUAGAAUUUCAGGUGUAGCGGUGAAAUGCGUAGAGAUCUGAAGGAAUACCGGUGGCGAAGGCGGCCCCCUGGACAGAUACUGACACUCAGAUGCGAAAGCGUGGGGAGCAAACAGGAUUAGAUACCCUGGUAGUCCACGCCGUAAACGAUGUCUACUUGGAGGUUGUGGCCUUGAGCCGUGUCUUUCGGAGCUAACGCGUUAAGUAGACCGCCUGGGGAGUACGGUCGCAAGAUUAAAACUCAAAUGAAUUGACGGGGGCCCGCACAAGCGGUGGAGCAUGUGGUUUAAUUUCGAUGCAACGCGAAGAACCUUACCUACUC
rnacentral:rRNA from 1 species